rnacentral:rRNA from 1 species
UACAGAGGGGGCAAGCGUUAUUCGGAAUUAUUGGGCGUAAAGGGCGCGUAGGCGGCCUGGCAAGUGGAAGGUGAAAUCCCUCGGCUUAACCGAGGAACUGCCCUCCAAACUGCUUGGCUUGAGUCCGGGAGAGGUGAGUGGAAUUCCCAGUGUAGCGGUGAAAUGCGUAGAUAUUGGGAGGAACACCAGUGGCGAAGGCGGCCAACUGGACCAGCACUGACGCUGAGGCGCGAAAACGUGGGGAGCAAACAGG